rnacentral:rRNA from 1 species
UACAGAGGGUGCGAGCGUUAAUCGGAUUUACUGGGCGUAAAGGGCUCGUAGGCGGUUUGUCGCGUCGGGAGUGAAAACUCAGGGCUUAACCCUGAGCCUGCUUCCGAUACGGGCAGACUAGAGGUAUGCAGGGGAGAAUGGAAUUCCUGGUGUAGCGGUGAAAUGCGCAGAUAUCAGGAGGAACACCGGUGGCGAAAGCGGUUCUCUGGGCAUUACCUGACGCUGAGGAGCGAAAGUGUGGGGAGCGAACAGG